rnacentral:rRNA from 1 species
AGUGAACGCUGGCGGUAGGCCUAACACAUGCAAGUCGAACGGCAGCACAGUAAGAGCUUGCUCUUACGGGUGGCGAGUGGCGGACGGGUGAGGAAUACAUCGGAAUCUACUUUUUCGUGGGGGAUAACGUAGGGAAACUUACGCUAAUACCGCAUACGACCUACGGGUGAAAGCAGGGGAUCUUCGGACCUUGCGCGAUUGAAUGAGCCGAUGUCGGAUUAGCUAGUUGGCGGGGUAAAGGCCCACCAAGGCGACGAUCCGUAGCUGGUCUGAGAGGAUGAUCAGCCACAUUGGAACUGAGACACGGUCCAGACUCCUACGGGAGGCAGCAGUGGGGAAUAUUGGACAAUGGGCGCAAGCCUGGUCCAGCCAUACCGCGUGGGUGAAGAAGGCCUUCGGGUUGUAAAGCCCUUUUGUUGGGAAAGAAAAGCAGCAGGUUAAUACCCCGCUGUUCUGACGGUACCCAAAGAAUAAGCACCGGCUAACUUCGUG